AGUGAACGCUGGCGGUAGGCCUAACACAUGCAAGUCGAACGGCAGCACAGUAAGAGCUUGCUCUUACGGGUGGCGAGUGGCGGACGGGUGAGGAAUACAUCGGAAUCUACUUUUUCGUGGGGGAUAACGUAGGGAAACUUACGCUAAUACCGCAUACGACCUACGGGUGAAAGCAGGGGAUCUUCGGGCCUUGCGCGAUUGAAUGAGCCGAUGUCGGAUUAGCUAGUUGGCGGGGUAAAGGCCCACCAAGGCGACGAUCCGUAGCUGGUCUGAGAGGAUGAUCAGCCACACUGGAACUGAGACACGGUCCAGACUCCUACGGGAGGCAGCAGUGGGGAAUAUUGGACAAUGGGCGUAAGCCUGAUCCAGCCAUACCGCGUGGGUGAAGAAGGCCUUCGGGUUGUAAAGCCCUUUUGUUGGGAAAGAAAAGCAGCAGGUUAAUACCCCGCUGUUCUGACGGUACCCAAAGAAUAAGCACCGGCUAACUUCGUG
rnacentral:rRNA from 1 species